GCCCUUACGUCCGGGGCUACACACGUGUUACAAUGGGGGGUACAGAAGGCCGCUACACAGCGAUGUGAUGCCAAUCCCUAAAGCCCCUCUCAGUUCGGAUCGAAGUCUGCAACCCGACUUCGUGAAGCUGGAUUCGCUAGUAAUCGCGCAUCAGCCACGGCGCGGUGAAUACGUUCCCGGGCCUUGUACACACCGCCCGUCAAGCCAUGGGAGCCGGGGGUACCUGAAGUACGUAACCGCAAGGAGCGUCCUAGGGUAAAACUGGUGACUGGGGCUAAGUCGUAACAAGGUAGCCGUACCGGAAGGUGCGGCUGGAACACCUCCUUUCUGGAG
rnacentral:rRNA from 1 species